GCCUUUGAAGCCCAAUUCGAGUACCAAAGGGCAUAUGGAAUACAACAGUAUCAUCUCUCAUGUUCCUUGUUUCACAAUGCCUCUCUCUCUCUCUCACACACUUUUAAUAGCUUCACUCACCAGAGUUAGGCCUCGUCGCGCCGAAAAUCGCCUCCGACGGAGGAGGAGGUCCAAAUGACCUUAAAUACACAUCAUUCAACUCGUCUCAAGCCUCUCAUCCUCAAUCUCCUAUCGAACAUCCUUGAUUCCUAACCAAAAAGACAAACCAAAUUGAAAAGCAUAUGAACCCUAAAAAGCAAAAAACAGAAAUUAAAUGUCAUAGAGGAGGAAUCAAAGCCUAACACCUUAAGGAUUUGAUUCCUCAUACUUAACCCUACAUGAUGGUGACAAGACUUACGUGAAUAGGUGAAGAAGAAACAGAGCUCACCUAUGAGGUGGAGAAUGGCACCAGUGUUGUAGGAAUUGAAGACGACGAAGUUGAAAAUGGAGGAGGAUUAAGGAUAUUCAGUGUGUAGGUCUUGAUUGCGGAUCUUCAGGCAUAGCAGGAAAGAAUUGAUGAAGUUUGGGUGGCCUUUGUCAUGCCAAGGUAUAAAUUUGGUGGCUUGGUAAACAUGGAAUAUGCAUGGAGUUAUGGUGCAAUAACUUGAUGACAACAUGAACAUGGGUGAAGGUGACUUGGGGAUUUAGCAAGAAAUAGGUCGAGGGAGGGAAGUUAGUGUUAGGGUCAGUCAAACGUCAAUUGUUGACCAAAAGUCAACAUUUUGACCAAAAGUCAACUAUAUCAAAAAAAUGUAAUUUCUUUGUAAUUUUGCAACAGCAAUGUAACUUGUACUUGAUUUUUGGUACCUUGACUUGUGUAUGGAUUGUAACUUGUUCCUCAAGUAAUGCAUAUAAUUUUCCUCCA